UAUAGUUCAGCAGUAGAACACUUGCCUGGUUUGCAUGAGACCCUGGGUUCAAACCCCAGUA
rnacentral:tRNA from 1 species